rnacentral:rRNA from 1 species
AUUGAACGCUGGCGGCGUGCUUAACACAUGCAAGUCGAUCGGUAACGCGGGGGCAACCCUGGCGACGAGAGGCGGACGGGUGAGGAACGCUUGGGAAUCUGCCUAUCAGCGGGGGACAACACGGGGAAACUCGUGCUAAUACCGCAUACGCUCUACGGAGGAAAGCCGGGGACCGCAAGGCCUGGCACUGAUAGAUGAGCCCAAGCCGGAUUAGCUAGUUGGCGGGGUAACGGCCCACCAAGGCGACGAUCCGUAGCUGGUCUGAGAGGACGAUCAGCAACACUGGGACUGAGACACGGCCCAGACUCCUACGGGAGGCAGCAGUGGGGAAUAUUGGACAAUGGGGGAAACCCUGAUCCAGCGACGCCGCGUGGGUGAAGAAGGCCUGCGGGUUGUAAAGCCCUUUCGGUAGGGACGAAAGCUCUCGACCUAACACGUCGGGAGGUUGACUUAACCUACAGAAGAAGCACCGGCUAACUCUGUGCCAGCCGCCGCGGUAAUAC